rnacentral:rRNA from 1 species
GAUGCGUAGCCGACUUGAGAGGGUGAUCGGCCACACUGGGACUGAGACACGGCCCAGACUCCUACGGGAGGCAGCAGUAGGGAAUCUUCCGCAAUGGACGAAAGUCUGACGGAGCAACGCCGCGUGAGUGAUGAAGGUUUUCGGAUCGUAAAACUCUGUUGUUAGGGAAGAACAAGUAUCGUUCGAAUAGGGCGGUACCUUGACGGUACCUAACCAGAAAGCCACGGCUAACUACGUGCCAGCAGCCGCGGUAAUACGUAGGUGGCAAGCGUUGUCCGGAAUUAUUGGGCGUAAAGCGCGCGCAGGCGGUUUCUUAAGUCUGAUGUGAAAUCUUGCGGCUCAACCGCAAGCGGCCAUUGGAAACUGGGAGACUUGAGUGCAGAAGAGGAGAGUGGAAUUCCACGUGUAGCGGUGAAAUGCGUAGAGAUGUGGAGGAACACCAGUGGCGAAGGCGACUCUCUGGUCUGUAACUGACGCUGAGGCGCGAAAGCGUGGGGAGCGAACAGGAUUAGAUACCCUGGUAGUCCACGCCGUAAACGAUGAGUGCUAAGUGUUAGAGGGUUUCC